rnacentral:misc_RNA from 1 species
GUACAAGAUACAUACUAAAUGAUAAGUUCUAGGGCAUACUACUAACAGAAUAAGAAGCACAAUACCCCUUCUGAUAGGUCUAAAAAGGGAGCUCAAGAUGAUAUGGAAAUAGGCAAAAUUGUUGCAGGUCGUUCAUCACCAUAUUAUCAUCUAUUGAUGAGUAAUUAAUGUAAGCUUUCAAUAGAAAAGGCGGAAUUAUCCAAGUAUAGAAGAAAUAACUGAAAAAAGAUUCAUAGUCCUACUCUAAAAUAUGAGCUGACGAAAACAUAAGUUAGUUUGUAAAGCUUGAAAAGGACUGAAACAAGAAUGAGGAAGUUUGUUUAGCUGUGCACGCAAAUAGCUUCCUUAAUGAACAAAAAAUUUAUUCUGGUCCAACACACGUUGAGCCCAUUGUUUUGCAAGGAGUCACUGCUCUUCUGUAAACAUGCUGUAAAGUUGAAGGGAUAUGGUAUCAUAAGCACAGCAGGUGGGACAGGAAGGGGUGAAGGUGGUGUUGGUGGAAGAAUUUCUCUUGAUUGUAACAGUAUACAUGAAGAUGUGACAGUCACUCUUCAUGGUGGCUGGAGUAUUGGUUGUCCUACAAAUGUUGGUGUAGCUGGUACAUUUUUUAGUGUAGAUUUACUGAGUUUAAGAGUUUGGCAAUGACAAUGUGAUGACAAAAGUGAAAAGCCCUUGAUUUUCCUACUACACUUCUGUGGUCAAAUGUUUUUGUGGAGAACAAUGCAAAGUUUAUGGUUUCUUUUAGUAAUAUUUAGCAUAUCUAAAAGUAUGAUCACUUUUUCAUUCUCUGUAUCAUCUUAAAAAUUGUAUAUUUGAGGAGUGGAAACCUAGUGAGAGACGAAGCUUUGUGAGGAAAAAGGCCCCAUAGGAGCAAAAGCCACGUUGCGCGUCUCCUUCUAUACCAACUAUGCGAAGACAUUUAAGAAGCUCCAUCAUCUCUUUGAGAAGGAGCAUUUGAUGUAGAGCUGAAGUUGGCGGGGGAGUAUGGAUUGUGGUGGUGCAUGAGAGAGCUGUAGAGGGUUCAAUAUCCAUUGAUCCUCAUUUGUAAUGCUGCUAGAAUGCUUUUGA